UACGUAGGGGGCAAGCGUUGUCCGGAAUCAUUGGGCGUAAAGCGCGCGUAGGCGGCCCGGUAAGUCCGCUGUGAAAGUCAAAGGCUCAACCUUUGAAUGCCGGUGGAUACUGUCGGGCUAGAGUCCGGAAGAGGCGAGUGGAAUUCCUGGUGUAGCGGUGGAAUGCGCAGAUAUCAGGAGGAACACCUGUGGCGAAAGCGGCGCACUGGACCAAAACUGACGCUGAGGCGCGAAAGCUAGGGGAGCAAACAGG
rnacentral:rRNA from 1 species